UACAGAGGUCUCAAGCGUUGUUCGGAUUCCUUGGGCGUAAAGGGUGCGUAGGUGGCGCCAUAAGUCGGGUGUGAAAUCUCGGGGCUUAACUCCGAAACUGCAUUCGAUACUGUGGUGCUUGAGGACUGGAGAGGAGACUGGAAUUCAUGGUGUAGCAGUGAAAUGCGUAGAGAUCAUGAGGAAGACCAGUGGCGAAGGCGGGUCUCUGGACAGUUUCUGACACUGAUGCGCGACAGCGUGGGGAGCAAACAGG
rnacentral:rRNA from 1 species